GCUAAAGCCUAAAUGUCAGAUCAACACAAACUUUGACCAAGUUUAAAAAUACAUUUUACCAAACAACUGAAUCAUUGACUAGCUUCCUAAGCAACUGUCGAUUGGAUUGAGCCGCCAAUAACGAGAGGUACUGAGGUAGUGUCUGAUUGAUUCUGUCUCUACCAUCACGGAGAUAGCGAAUCCAACUGCUUAUGCAUGCAGCUUAUGUUUCUACGGAUGAAAUAACUCCGGCCGCAGAUAUUCCAUCUGCACCCAUGAACACUAUUGCUGAAUUGACAACAACUUCCGAAGAAAUCGCUACAACAACAGAAGUGCCCAGCACGCUCUCGGUUUCCACAGGUGAUCCCACUUUUACAGUCUGGGCAGUGAAUCCCAGUACGGAAGCAACAACUCUGGCUGUGGAAACGUCAAUCCUGACCGACCAAUUGACUGUCGACACACUGAAAAAUUCGAUUAAUGAAGCGACUACAGCCGGUGAAAUUGUUCUGUCGUCAGAACCAACAGCAGCACAUGGAGAAACAUUGACCUCAAUUUCUACAAUAAGUAAUGCUUAUCUUUCCUCAGGAGCUCUCGGACGCUCUGGAAAUGAUUAAACUGUUGUAUGUAACUGUUGCCCCGAAACAAAUGAGAGUAUUCCGGCUGCUGAACUAACUUCGGUACCUAUCGAAUCGGUUAUGGAAACGACAGUUGUGGCUGUUGAACCUCCUGCCGAAACUCUGUUUACCGAUCUUUCCUUUCCAAUAGAAACCAAAACUGGUAAAACACUAACCUUUAACUAACAGAACAUACUCACAUUUAUUUAAGAUAUUUGCGUUAAUAUCCUUCUUUCUAGUGGGAAAAUUAAUAUGUGCUUAAGACAUAUUAUAAGCGUUGGCCUAGGCAACAGAGACGCAGCAACAAGUCGCAUUAAAAUAUUAAAUACAUUAAUUGGAUUAUUACUAUUUGACAUUCAGGCCCUACCGUUUCGCACAACUGUUUCGCAUUUUGGGCGUUUCGCUUUCGCAGUUUAAGGACUCCCGGGAAAAAGUGACGGCGCAGCUAGAUGAUAAGCAUCAUCUAGCUGAGCGCGACCAGCCAAGAUGUAGGCAAAUUACGCACUAACUCUGCUAAGGAAAAUUUUGUAACCAUACCGAUGCUUAAAAUACAAAACCAAUAAUAAAACUUC